rnacentral:lncRNA from 1 species
UAUUGACCUCAAUAACAUUUUCAUAACUUUUUUAUUAUUCCUUCAUGUUAGUGUGUUUUGUCCUUUUUUGAUACAGUUAAUGUCCAGGGGUCGGUAUUACGAAGCAUUCCUAAGACCUGUCAUAAGAUAUAUAAUAGGACAUGUCUUAUGAUCCUCUUAUGACUAUCUAUGGACAUAUCUUUAUUUGAUGAAUUAUAAUUGUGAGUGUCCAAUUUGAAGGCAAUAGUAAAAUACUUUCAUUCUAGUUGAUACUAAAAGACAUAAGAGGAUAGCCAGGAUAUAGAUGUGUCUACAAAUAAAUUUGGGAAUUGAAAUGGGGUAUGU